rnacentral:lncRNA from 1 species
CCAUCAACGUACUUGGGCAACGCAAUGUUUGCAGCUUCAUUAAUUGCUCUAUCUGGAAAUCUCCAAUCAAAACCAUUUGUAAAUACCCUAGAACGAGUUCAUGGAACAUUGCAAAGGAUGAAUAAUGAGUAUCUAAGAUCAGCUCUUGACUACCUAGAAACACUGCCAGAUAUAACAGUUGCCAGGAGAACACCGGACACUUACCAUUGCCCAAACCUAAGUAUCAACAAAUGGACACGACUGUCUUUAUAUGAUGCAGAUUUUGGAUGGGGUCGACCAAUAUACAUGGGUCCAGCAAACGUUGUCCAUGAAGGAAAAAUAUAUAUACUACCAAGUCCAACCGAUGAUGGGAGCUUGUCAUUGGUAGCAUGCCUACAGACUGCUCAUAUGAAACUCUUCGAGAAACAUCUAUACGAAGGCUUGAAGUCAUUUGACAAGAUCAAAGCUCAAUAUUAGUUGUUUGUUCUCUCUAUCAAUAUAUGUAUAAACCUAUAAAUCUUCUACUUAUGUUUCUUUAACUAAGACUUUUUGUUUGGAUCCUGUUUAUUUGAAAUUUACCAUCUAAGCUGGCCUGGCAAACAGGUCUUUUAUUGGUAAUUAUUGUACUAUACCUCGAUAAUAGUAAUAGCAUUGAUCGCAAAGAAAUAAUAAAGUAAAAUAAGAAUACACAGAUUUUACGUGGAAAAGUCUUAUUAGAAAAAAAAUCACGGGCAAAGUAAAAAUUUACUAAUGUUGAAAAGCAACAAUACAAGAAGUUUUUUUUACUACACACGUUUUAACGGUUAAAUAACAUUUUUAUAAUCAAUGUCUAAUAGAAGAUCGCUCCCACAUAUCCCCCAAAUUUGCAAUUCUAUUUUAUUUCUUUAACAAACAAGUUGCACCUCGAAUUUUUCUUGACUGGAUCAAACGGGGUUCAAAUCAAACAGCUCUGACAACACCUCAAAUUAUUUGUCCAUAACCAAUUAAAACAAAUACCGAAUAAUUGAAAUAUAUUCAAAAUUUUAAAUUAAAUUAAGUUUGGAUCAAACUCACUGAUGAUAUAUGAUUUACCUAAAGUGAAAUAAGAACUCGAAAAUACAAAAUUUAUGGGUAAAUUUUCUUUUUGGUCACUUAAUUAAAAAAUUAUAAUUUGGUUAUUAAACUAUUCAAAAGUUUUAUUUUAAGUCAUUGGAUUGUUAAAAUUUAUAUUAUACAACUUUCUCUAUUCGCAGUGCAUGCAUCAAUUGAAAGCUCUCUUUUUCCUUCAUUUUUACAGUUCAUUUUCUAUUUUUAUGUAACAACUUUGGACGUCAUAAAUCUGUAGACCAAAAUUUAAACAUUUUUUGCUCUGAUUUCCAACAUCGACCAUCAAAUCAAUUUAGAUCUAAAGUAUAUUUUUCUACUCAUUAAUGGAAUAAUGGGUAUCGAUCCAUCGUAUCGAUUGUUGAACCCUUACUUGGAGCUCGUUAGUGGAACUUAAAAAACAACUUAAUAGCCUAGUGACUUAAAUGAAAAUUUUCAAAUUUAGUGACCAAACCAAAAACUUUCCCAUAAUUUAAUGACUAAUGGUGUAGUUUACGCACUUCCUCUUGGCCCAAUUGAAGUUUUUGGUACUCCCAAACACUAGUAAAAAAGUUUUAAUAGUAGAAUGUAUGAAAUUUUUAAUAGAAAGUAACAUUUUACUUUUUGAUCUAUAUACAGAGACUAAUGUGCCAAUUUUUUAAAAUAAAUAUGACAAAAUGCAAUUUGACUUUUAAUAUAAAAAUCUCCAUGGUGCGUUUACCUUGAAAUUAUCAAUAAAAACUAAUAAAUAUAAAAUGAAACAGUUAAGAAUAUAUCAAAUAUUCACGAGGUGAUAGGCGCUUUUAAAAUUUAACAUUUACAACUUAAUGGGCUAGUGACAAGGCCAAGCAAACCAUUAGUGGAUUGGUAACAAAUUUGGUAAUAUUUUAACGAUCCAAUUGUUAAAUAUAUCGAUAUAACUGUAUUUGGUAUGAAUGUAAAAUUUCGAACCGAUCCGAUAUUUCUGACAUAUUGAUCUAAAAUAUUGCAUAUAUUAAACUAUUAAAUUUUUUUAUAUAAAAUAAAUAGUUAGUUUUUUUUUUAAUUUACAUCAAAUUUGACAUGCACAAUCUAUUUGAAUAGAAUAUGAAAUAUGAUAAUUGAAUCAUUAAAAUAUUAAUUGUAUAAAAAAUAAAAUACAUAUUUUAAAUUUAAUAUAAAAAUGUUUAAAAAACACUAAAAUAAAUUAAUAAAAUUCUCAAUGACUUUUGGGUUUAAAUCAAAAUUAUCGAAACUGGAUUAGAUCAAAUCGAAAAUUAAUUAAGGUAUGAGUUUGGAAUAAGAGGAUUAAUUAUCUCACAAAUUGGUUAAAUCGACAAAUCAGAUCAAUUUUUUUUCAAUUUUUAAUUUUUUAAUAAUUUAUUUAAUUAAAUUAAUAAAAUCAAUCAAAUCAGAAUUAGAAUCUAAUUCUAAACACUUUGUUUUGUUAUGUCAAAGCCACAUGUUUUUUUACACCUUAUUUAUUCUGCAAAUUACUGUCCGCACGUGUCAACUCUUUAUCAUCUUUUAAUGACGUGUACGGUAUAGAUAGCCUGUCUUCAAUUUUUUUAUUUGCCAAAUUCUGUUAUUAGUCCCUGUAUUAUAAGUAGUUUGCGAAUUUAAUCUCUAUAUUAAAAAAAUAGUCAAUUUUAGUUCUUAUACUUUUUAGCAUCUAAAAUUUUAAUCAUCCACAAGGAGUAGUAAUUAAAUAUGUUUGUUAAUUUAGGUCCUUAAUCUUUUACACAGUAUAAAGUUAUUCUACGUUCUCUAAUUUGAUCAUUCAUAAUCCUUAUAUUUUUUGAAUUUUUAAAUUUUAAUAAGCUGACAUAAUAUUACAUAUAUGAUAAUAUUUUUGACACAUAAGAUUUUGAACAUAAUAAAACAUAAUGAAUUUAAUGGUUAUCGUUUAGAUCAGGAUUGAAAUUUUAAAAUUAGAAAAAUAUAUGGACUAAAAUGAUUAAAUUAAAGUACAUACACUAAAUUUACAACUUUCCCAUUGCACAAGUACUAAUAGCAGGAUUUACCCUAUUUUUACAUUUAAAUAUGUAAAAAUAUCACCCAUCCACUGCCUCCCAACAGAGAAGAUAGGCUUUUUUUUUUUUGCAAUAAAAGAAUUAAUAAUUACUUGAUAAAUUAUUUUAUGGACAUUUUUUGUCAUAUCAUCCAUGAUCCCGUCCAAUUAGAAGAGAACGCGUCAUCUUUUUUUCCACAUCAUAUAUACAUUUAGACUAAACUUCCAAAUAAAAGAUGACGUGUCGUGUUUUAAUUGGGAGGAACUAUGGAUGAUGGGGUGAAAAAUGUCCAUAAAAUAAUUUCUCAUUAUUACCUUAUCUUCGAACACAAAAACACAAGCAUUAGCAAACAGAUUUCGCCCAUCUGCUACCUCCCAAUCGAGAAGAUAGGUUUUUUUUCUGAGUAACUCAAUUUUUUUGAUUAAUUAUGAACAUAAUUAACUUAAAAAUUAUGUCCGUAAAUGAUUUGAUUUUUACAGUGCUUGUCGAUGUUGCCAGACACACCGACGGCACCAGGCCCAUCAUCGACCAAUAAUUAUAUUAUUUUAAACAUUUUCAAUUCAUUCCUUAGCAUAUUUAAAUUUAUAUAAAUUGAGAUAAUUUUUUGAAGGAUAUAUUUGGGUAAUUUAAAUAAGACUUUUAACUUUAUUGUUUCUAAAAAAAUAAAAAAUUAUUUUUAUUAUUCUUAUAUUUUUAAGGACUAUUUAAAUAUAAUUUUAAAAAUAGAUAUACUUAACACGCAAAUAAAUAAAAAAUUAAAAAGCAUCAAAUUUGGUGCCGACAUGGUGCACCCUUUUUCUGCAAACUAAAAAGUUAUUAUUUUCUAGGUAAGGAAUAGUCUGUUUUAUUUACCUCAUAUUAUAUUUUAGUUAUUUAUAUUUAAAAUGUUAUUUUUAAGUGGUCACUCCACUGUUAAAUUUCGUUACCUCUCUAACGGUAAUUUUAUGUGACAGUUAGACCUGUCCAUGGGCCGGGCGGCUCAGCCUGGCCCGAAGGCCUGCCCGAAAUAUGGGAGGGUUCGGGUAAAAAUAUAGGCCCGAAAUAUGGGCUUGGGCAAAAAAAUGAGGCCCGUUUAAAAAAUGGGCCGGGCUUGGGCUCAACUUUUUUGGCCCGGGCCCGGCCCGGCCCGAAUAUAAUAAAUAUAUUUUUUAUUUUUAUUUUUUAAUUUUAAAAUACGUUAAAAAUAUUUUUUUUAUUUUUAUUUUUUUAUUUUUAAAAUAUUUUUUUGUGUUUAUUAAAAAUCGGGCCGGGCCCGGGCUUAUUAUUUUUUUCUCGGGCCGGGCCUGAGAAAAAUUUUAGGCCCAUAUUUCGGGCAGGGCCUAAGAGUCGGGCCGAAUUUUUUCCCGGGCCCAGCCCGGCCCAUGGACAGGUCUAGUGACAGUACAAAUGGGUUUUAAAUGCCAACUACGAUGCCCAAUUAUUAUGACAAAAAUAGGUUUUUAAUUAAAUAAAUUUAAUUUAGACUGCCACGUAGGACCGUCAUUAGGGAGGUAAGAGAGCUUAAUGAUAGAGUGAUCAAUUCGUAACAGAACGAUAACAUUAGUGACUAAAACGUAACAUUUCAAACUUAAGCGACUGUUUUAUAGUUUACCCUUAAUGUAAUUAUUGGCGGAUGAUCUGGCCGCACCGACAAACAGCAGAAAUUGAGUCAUUUUCGUAAUUAUUUACAAAAUUUGGGUUACUUUUCUAAAAAAACCAGAGAAGAGAACCUCGCCUCUGCUUAAGAUAGCCGGACACUUUCUAACUUUCCCUUCUUUCAGUUUUUCAUCAACAGGUUUGCCUCUUACCAGAACAUCAAUGGAUGUUAGUGUAAAGAGAUGGAGCAUGAUACGCCCUGCUCAAGAUACUCCUAAAGAAAGGCAAUGGAUUUCAAAUCUGGACAUGGUGAUAACAACAUACCAUGUCCCUUUGCUGUUUUUCUACAAACCAAAUGGCUCCUCUGAUUUCUUUAAGCCUCAAGUGCUACAGGAGGCUUUAAGCAAGACUCUUGUGCAAUUCUAUCCUAUGGCUGGGAGGUUGGGACGUGAUGAAAAUGGUAGGCUCGAGAUAGUAUGCAACGCAGAGGGUGUUCUGUGGAUAGAAGCUGAAACUACAUCGGCCAUGGAUGAUCUCGACGGUUUUACUCCCUGCUCAAAACUGAGGAAACUGGUUCCCACGGCUGAUUACUCUGGAGAUAUCAGUUCUUAUCCGCUUAUUAUGGCUCAGGUAAGUGAAUGAAGAACUAUUAGCUUAUUAUAGAUGAUAACUGUUACUUGCAGUAGGAGACCAAGGAUAAGCUCUGAGAAAACUCAAACAGUCUGAUACUGAAGUUAUAGCACAAGAAAAACUAAGCUAUCAGCUAAGAAGUUGAUAUAUGGCUUUUUUUUUUCUAAACUGACUUAAAAGAAUCGAUUAAUUAUGAAAAUUACCCAGGUAUAAUAUCUUAUAUGAGAAUGACCCGUUUUCUACCGUAAAAAUUGGUACCGCUAGACUAUUUAGCGGUACCGAUAUUUUUGUAAAAGUAUUACCAUCAACAAAUUAUCGAUAUAUACUUUCCAUUCAUCUUCACAAGAAAGUGCUAAUUACGGAGGUCCAUGGUGGUGGCUUAGUAGUGAUGAAGAUGAAACCAAAACCCUUUUCUCUUCAAUGAACCUCUGGUUUGACUCAUUUGUAAUAAUUAUUUUCGCUCGUUGGAUACAACCGCAUUUUAAAUGGAAAACUGUAAUAAUCCUCACAGAAGAAAAGCAAAGAACAAGAUUAAUCAAAGCGAACAAUAUUGUUACAAAUGAGUUAGGCGAGAGGUUCAUUGAAGAGAAAAGGGUUUCGAUUUCAUCUUCUUCACUGCUAAGCCACUGCCAUGGAACUCUUAGACCUUUCUCAUGAAGCUAAACGAUACCAUCAACAAAGUGUAUCCUUUUUACAAAACUAACAUCGGUGCCAACAAUGAGUCCGGCAACAUUCAAAAAAUAUAUAUUUUUAAAAAACAUGGGGUGGUGCUUCAAUGGAAAUGGUGGCACCAAAUUUUAUGAUAGAAAAUGGGUUAUUCUCGUACAAAAUUUUACACUUGAGUCAUUUUUAUAAUUAAUAAAAUUUUUUGGUCAAUUUUGAAAAAAAAAACCUUAAUGUUUUUGUUUCGAAAAGGUCAAUUGUUGAGUGUAUAUUUUGCUAGGUAACUACUCUUAAAUGCGGUGGAGUUUGUCUUGGAAUAGCAACUCAUCAUACUUUGACUGAUGGCACAAUGACCUUACAUUUCAUUAAUAGUUGGUCUGAAAUGGCAAGAGGCUUGCCCCAAAUUAGCAUGCCACCAGUUAUUGACCGAACCCUUCUUCGAGCAAGAGUGCCACCAAUCCCUAGAUUUCAUCAUCUCGAAUAUGACCGACCUCCUUCCUUAUACACCUCUACGUCACUUGGCCCUAAUAACCAUAAACCCUCAACUGUAUAUGUUUUCAAGAUCACACAAAAUCAACUUAAUACCCUAAAAGCCAAGUCAUGGGAACAUGGAAACAAAACCAAUUACAGCACCUACACCAUUCUAGUUGCAUACAUAUGGCGCUGUGCAACUAAAGCUUGGGACCUCUCAUAUGAUCAGCCAACCAAGUUACACAUGCCAACUGAUGGACGCCCCAGACUACAUCCUCCCCUCCCAUCAACGUACUUGGGUAACGCAAUGUUUGCGGCUUCAUUAAUUGCUCUAUCUGGAAAUCUGCAAUCAGAACCGUUUGUAAAUACCCUAGAACGAGUUCAUGGAACAUUGCAAAGGAUGAAUAAUGAGUAUCUAAGAUCAGCUCUUGACUACCUAGAAACACUGCCAGAUAUAACAGUUGCCAGGAGAACACCGGACACUUACCAUUGCCCAAACCUAAGUAUCAACAAAUGGACACGACUGUCUUUAUAUGAUGCAGAUUUUGGAUGGGGUCGACCAAUAUACAUGGGUCCAGCAAACGUUGUCCAUGAAGGAAAAAUAUACAUACUACCAAGUCCAACCAAUGAUGGGAGCUUGUCACUGGUAGCAUGCCUACAGACUGCUCAUAUGAAACUCUUUGAGAAACAUCUAUACGAAGGCUUGAAGUCAUUUGACAAGAUCAAAGCUCGAUAUUAGUUGUUUGUUCUCUCUAACAAUAUAUGUAUAAACCUAUAAAUCUUCUACUUCUGUUUCUUUAACUAAGACUUUUUGUUUGGAUCCUGUUUAUUUGAAAUUUACCAUCUAAGCUGGCUUGGCGAACAGGUCUUUUAUUGGUAAUUAUUGUACUAUACCUCGAUAAUAGUAGUAUCAUUGAUCGCAAAGAAAUAAUAAAGAAAAAUAAGAAUAUACAGAUUUUACGUGGAAAAGUCUUACUAGGAAAAAAAAUCACGAGCAGAGUAAAAAUUCACUAAUGUUGAAAAAUACUAAUACAAGAAGUUUUUUUGACUACACACAUUUUAACGGUUAAAUAACAUUUUUAUAAUCAACGUUUAAUAGAAGAUCGCCCCCACAUAUCCCCCAAAUUUGCAAUUCUAUUUUAUUUCUUUAACAAACAAGUUGCACCUCGAAUUUUUCUGAUUGGAUCAAACGGGGUUCAGAUCAAACAGCUCUAACAACAACUCAAAUUAUUUGUCCAUAACCAUAUUAAAACAAAUACCGAAUAAUUGAAAUAUAUUCAAAAUUUUAAAUUAAAUUAAGUUUGGAUCAAACUCACUGAUGAUAUAUGAUUUACCUAAAGUGAAAUAAGAACUCGAAAAUACAAAUUUUAUGGGUAAAUUUUCAUUUUGGUCACUUAAUUAAAAAAUUAUAAUUUGGUUAUUAAACUAUUCAAAAGUUUUAUUUUAAGUCAUUGGAUUGUUAAAAUUGAUAUUAUAUGACUUUCUCUGUUCACAGUGCAUGCAUCAAUUGAAAGCUCUCUUUUUCCUUCAUUUCUACAGCUCAUUUUCUAUUUUUAUGUAACAACUUUGGACGUCACAAAUUUGCAGACCAAAAUUCAAACAUUUUUUGCUCUGAUUUCCAACAUGGACCAUCAAAUCAAUUUAGAUCUAAAUUAUAUUUUUAUACUCAUUAAUGGGUACUGAUCCACCAUAUCGAUUGUUGAAUCCUUACUUGGAGCUCGUUAAUGGAACUUAAAAAACAACUUAAUAUAUAGCCUAGUGACUUAAAUGAAAAUUUUUGAAUUUAGUGGCCAAACCAAAAACUUUCCUAUAAUUUAAUGAUUAAUGGUGUAGUUUACGCACUUCCUCUUGGCCCAAUUAAAGUUUUUGGUACUCCCACACACUAGUAAAAAAGUUUUAAUAGUAGAAAUGUAUGAAAUUUUUAAUAGAAAGUACCAUUUUACUUUUUGAUCUAUAUACAGAGACUAAUUUGCCAAUUUUUUAAAUAAAUGGGGUAAAAUGUAAUUUGACUUUUAAUAUAAAAAUCUCCAUGGUAUGUUUACCUUGAAAUUAUCAAUAAAAACUAAUAAAUAUAAAAUGAAACAGUUAAUAAUAUAUCAAAUAUCCACGAGGUGAUAGGUGAUUUUAAAAUUUAACAUUUACAACUUAAUGGGCUAGUGACAAGGCCAAGCAAACCAUUAGUGGAUUGGUAACAAAUUUGGUAAUAUUUCAACGAUCCAAUUGUUUAAUAUAUCGAUAUAACUGUAUUUGGUAUGCAUGUAAAUUUUUGAACCGAUCCGAUAUUUCUGACAUAUUGAUCCAAAAUAUUGUAUAUAUUGAACUAUUAAAAGUUUUUUAUAUAAAAUAAAUAGUUAGUUUUUUUUUUAAUUUACAUCAAAUUUGACAUGCAUAAUCUAUUUGAAUAGAAUAUGAAAUAUGACAAUUGAAUCAUUAAAAUAUGGGUAAACUACACCCAUGGUCACUUUUGUUUACCUUAGGUUACAUUUCAGUCACUUAUGUUUGAAAUGUUACAUUUUAGUCACUUACGUUAUCGUGUUGUAACAUUUUAGUCACUGAGCCGUUAAUUGCCGUUAAUGGUGUAAUGGUAAGCUGACGUGGCACGUUAAAUCAUCAUUUCAAACAAAAACUUUAGGUUAAAUUAUAAAAAAAAUUAAAUUACUAAAAACGAAAAAAAUAUGGGGAUCAAUUAUAUAAUUUAACCUAAAAUUUUGUUUGAAAUGAUGAUUUAACGUGCCACGUCAGCUUACCGUUACACCAUUAACGACGAUUAAUGGCUCAGUGACUAAAAUGUUACAACUUGAUAACGUAAAUGACUAAAACGUAACAUUUCAAACAUAAGUGACUUAAACGUAACCUAAAGUAAACAAAAGUGACCAUGAGUGUAGUUUACCCUUAAAAUAUUAAUCGUAUAAAAAAAUAAAAUACAUAUUUUAAAUUUAAUAUAAAAAUGUUUAAAAAACACUAAAAUAAAUUAAUAAAAUUCUCAAUGACUUUUGGGUUUAAAUCACAAUUAUCGAAACAGGACAAAUCGAAAAUUAAUUAAUGUAUAAAUUUGGAAUAAGAGGAUUAAUUAUCUCACAAAUUGGUUAAAUCAACCAAUCAGAUAAUUUUUUUCAUUUUUAAAUUUUUUAAUAAUUUAUUUAAUUAAAUUAAUCAAAUCAAUCAAAUCGGAAUUAGAAUCUAAUUCUAAACACUUUGCUUUGUUAUGUCAAAGCUAUAUGUUUUUUUUACACCUUAUUUAUUCUGCAAAUUAUUGUCCGCACAUGUCAACUCUUUAUCAGCUUUUAAUGACGUGUACGGUAUAGAUAGCCUAUCUUCAAUUUUUUUUAUUUGCCAAAUUCUUUUAUUAUUCCUUGUAUUAUAAUUAGUUUGUGAAUUUAAUCUCUAUAUUAAAAUAAAAUGUCAAUUUUAGUCCUUAUACUUUUUAGCAUUUAAAAUUUUAAUCCUCCACAAAGAGUAGUAAUUAAAUAUGUUUGUUAAUUUAUGUCGUUAAUCUUGUACACAGUAUAAAGUUAUUCCACGUUCUCUAAUUUGAUCAUUCAUAAUCCUUAUAUUUUUUGAAUUUUUAAAUUUUAACAAGCUGAUAUAAUAUUACAUAUAUGAUAAUAUUUUUGACGUAUAAGAUUUUGAAAAUAAUAAAACUACUUAAUGAAUUUAAUGAUUAUCGUUUAUAUCAAUAUUGAAAUUUUAAAAUUAGAAAAAUAUACGGACUAAAAUGAUUAAAUUAAAGUACAUAGACUAAAUUUACAACUUGCCCAUUGCAUAAGUACUAAUAGCAGGAUUUAACCUAUUUUUACAUUUAAAUAUGUAAAAAUAUCACCCAUCCACUGCCUUCCAACAGAGAAGAUAAGUUUUUUUUUUUUAGCAAUAAAAGAAAUAAUAAUUACCUGAUAAAUUAUUUUAUGGAAAUUUUUCACCAUAUCUUCCAUGAUCCCGUCCAAGUAGACGAUGACACAUCAUCGUUUUUUUCCACAUCAUAUGUACAUUUAAACUAAACUUCUAAAUCAAAGAUGACAUGUCUUGUUUUAAUUGGUAGAAACUGUGGAUGGUCGGGUGGAAAAUGCCCAUAAAAUAAUUUCUCAUUAUUACCUUGUCUUCGAACACAAACACACAAGCAUUAGCAAACAGAUUUCGCCCAUCCGCUACCUCCCAAUAGACAAGAUAGGUUAUUUUUAAUUAACUCAAUUUUUUUGAUUAAUUACGAAAAUAAUCAACUUAAAAAUUACGUACGUAAAUGAUUUGAUUUUUACAGUGCUUGUCGAUGCUGCCAGACACAUCGGCGGCACCGGUCUCAUCAUCGACCAAUAAUUGUAUUAUUUUAAACAUUUUCAGUUCAUUCCCUAGCAUAUUUAAAUUUAUAUAAAUUGAGAUAAUUUUUUGAAGGAUAUAUUUGGGUAAUUUAAAUAAGACUUUUAACUUUAUUGUUUCUAAAAAAAUAAAAAGAAUUUAUUUUUGUUAUUCUUAUAUUUUUAAGGGCUAUUUAAAUAUAAUUUUAAAAAUAGAUAUACUUAACACGCAAAUAAAUAAAAAAAUUGAAAAGCAUCAAAUUUGGUGCCGACAUGGUGCACUAAAAAGUUAUUAUUUUCUGGGUAAAUUAUAGCAAUAGUCACUUUUAUUUACCUCAUAUUAUAUUUUAGUUAUUUAUGUUUAAAAUAUUACAUUUUAGUCACUUACAUUAUCAUUUUGUUAUUAAGUGAUCACUCCACCGUUAAACUUCGUUACUUCUCUAACGGUAGUCCUAUGUGACAGUACAAAUUGAUUUUAAAUGCCAACUGGCAACUAUGAUGUCCAAUUGUUGGGACAAAAAUAGGUUUUUAAUUAAAUAAAUUUAAUUUGGACUGCCACGUAGGACCGUCAUUAGGAAGGUAAGAGAGCUUAAUGAUAAAGUGACCAAUUCGUAAUAAAACGAUAAUAUAAGUGACUAAAACGUAAUAUUUUAAACUUAGGUGAAUAAAAUAUAAUCUGAAGCAAAUAAAAGUGACUGGUUUAUAGUUUAUCCAUAAUGUAAUUAUUGGCGGAUGAUCUGGCCGCACCGACAAACAGUACAAAUUGAGUCAUUUUCGUAAUUAUUCACAAAAUUUGGGUUACUUUAAUAAAAACCCGAGAAGAGAACCUCGCCUUUGCUUAAGAUAGACGGGCACUUUCUGACCUUCCCUUCUGUUGGUUUUUCAUCAGCAAGUUUGCCUCUGAUGGGUUGUCGAAUCCACCAAUGUAAACCUACGCCUAACUUGCAAAUUAAGCAGUAUAGGGAGUAGGGUCGAUCCCUCAGAGACUGGGUUUACUGCAAAUUGUUCCUCUCUUGACCAGAUUUUUGUCAGGGCAGUUGUCGUGCCCAAGAAAUUCAGAGGGAUAAAAUCUGAAACCUGAAAUAAAUAAAUAAAAAGCGUAAAAAGUAAAAGUUGAAGACAGAAUAAUAAAAACAGUGAAAUAAAUAUGAAGAAAAAUUAAUUAGAAUAAGCUCAGCUUUAGGCACGAAUUUUCCUCGUCUUUGAACCGAUCCUCGAAAUUGGAUGAACUCCUCUUUUCCAAUAACUAGUUAUAGCUACCAAGGACGCCUCGGGCACCAACUCUUCCUUGUGUAAAUUAGUUAUGGAACAUCCAAUAACUAACCUUUACCAAUCGAACAACCACGAAACAUUCGUGAUUUAGAACUCCGACAGCUUUGCGUUCUAGAAGAGCCUAGCUCGAACCAAUGCCCUCAACCGCGUGGGACAUUUAAAUCCGGUUACUACUUCCCUUGACGGAACCAAAUAGCAAUCUCCACGGGCACGCCACUGUGUUCACAGAAAACCAAAUAGAAACGUUCCUUUCGGAAUUCCAACUGUACGUCUAAUCACACUAAAUCAAACGACGUCUUUUUUUGACUUAGUGCUGGUCUGACUUUAUGAGUUGACAAAAUCAUACUCUUAAUCCAGAGAAGUAAUAAGUACUAGAAUUUUAGGAGUUAAAUGGCUCGGGUUCGUAACUCACGGGUUUUGACGAUGCUAAUUUCGGCCUAAAGCUGAAAAUGGUUUUAGUUGGCUAAGGUUUGGGGCACGUUGGUAUUAGAAUAAUUAAAUAAGAUUGAAUAAAUGAAAAAAAAAAAUGAAAGUGAGUGGUGAAGGUUAUGCAAGGUUGGAAAUUAAUUGCUAACAAAAAACAGGAAAGAAAAGAUUGAAUUGCAAGAGAUAAAAGCUUAAUUUAAAAACGAAAUGAUUAAAAACUUGAUGGAAAAUUUUAUGAAAAGACUUGAUGAAAAACUUUAAAAAGAACUUGCUGCAAAACUUGAUAAAAAAACUUGGUAAUUAAAAACUUGAUAAAAGAACUAGAUGAAAAAUACUUGAAGAAUGAAAAACACUUAAUGAAAGACUCAAUUGAAAGCUUGAUUCAUGAAUUGAUGAAUUGAUAAACAAUGUAGCCUCUAUUUAUACUAGUAGCUUUACUAAAUUAGGAGCCAACUAGUAUAGAAAAUCAAGGAAAAUAUUCCAUAAUAUAAAAAAUAUCCCAAAAUAAUCUCCCACUAAGUCAACAAUUUCAGCUAAUUAUUCUUGGAAAAAUUCUACUUUGGCCCUCGUUCUUUGCUUCUUUCNNNNNNNNNNNNNNNNNNNNNNNNNNNNNNNNNNNNNNNNNNNNNNNNNNNNNNNNNNNNNNNNNNNNNNNNNNNNNNNNNNNNNNNNNNNNNNNNNNNNNNNNUUAACCAAUUUAAUUACAUAAAAUAUGUAACUUUAGCAUUUAAUCAAAUCCCCCUACUUAGCUUAUUCUAGUCCUCGAGCAUUUUGUAUGUAUCUGCAAAAGGAAAAAUUUUCUCCAAAAUAGGACUUGGCCCUCAUGGUUUGCACAAUUCAACAAUUUAAUCCUAGCACACUAACAUCUCAAAUAACCUAGCCUAAGAAGUAAGUAAAUAUAUUUCAGAAUUUAUUAGAGCUUGAUAGACUUACCUUUCAUUUUAUUAUUUUUUGUGCUUAGGACAUUUUCGAAUUUUUUGACGCGAGACAUGAUGACAACCCAAGCACCAUGUUCCGGUUACUCAAUUCGGAUGUCUCUAAGCGGGUUAUUUCGCCCUACUCAUGAUAACUUGUUAGCGGAGUGAGUGCAAAGAAAUUGGACAGCUACACGAACCUUUUUACGCGAGAUGUGAUGACAACCCAAGCACCAUAUUCCGGUUACUUAGUCCAGUGUACAACCUCAAUUUUCACUCUUAACAUUCGUAUCAGAGGAGUAUUAUUAUUCAUUUUUUCUUUUUUUUCUUUUCUUUUUUUUUUUGAAAGAUAAAAUAGGUAGUCAAGCAAACUCAUAAUUCCCAAAAAUUUCUUACCCACUAAGUCUAGGUUAUUGAAAAGUUGUAUGUGUAAAGAACUAGAUAGCUAAAUAGGUCAAACCAUAAGUGUACCAUCCCAAUUUAUCAAAAGAAAAAUUUUACCUUUCACGAAAAACAUGCAAAAAUAGCGACAACAGAUAAGUAAAUUAGAACCAAUUUAUAUUUCCAUCCCCCCUACUUAUUUUACAUUGUCCCAAUGUAAUUCAAAGAAUAAAAGUAAAGAUAAGUAGGAGAAAGAGAGAAAAAGAAACUCUCCAUGUAUUUCAACGUCGUGGAGGGUGGUCUCGUAGGUAGAGUGGGCCUUGGCUGAAAUAAAAAGAAUUUUGUGGGUUGACAUGUGGAAUUUAAUUUUGUCUUGGAAUGUUUUCCUGUAAAAAUAAAAAUGAAAAUAAAAUAAAAUAGAAAAAAUAAAUAAUAAUAAUAAUAAUAGGAAAAUUUUAAAAAAUUCAAAUUUAUUAGCUAAGCUAUAAACUCGAAAAAUAAAUUAUUAAAAACCAAGAUUACGAGAUUUGGUAAAACAGUCGUGAUAAAUGCACCAAGUAAGUUCCCAGGAAAGAGAGGUGAGCCACAAUGGACAUACUUAAGUACCAAGUCUUUCCCUAGACAGAACUAAUCCUUGACAUGCAUUUUCAUUUUCUAUUUUACCAAAAAUUUUAUUUGCAUAAAGGAAAAGAAAAUUUGGGUUGCCUCCCAACAGCACUUUGUUUAACGUCGUUUAGCUCGACGACCUGUGUUAUUCAAAUUCUUUAUCUUUUUGUAAUAGACUGCAAAGCGGUUGCAUGAUCUUCGAGAAGUCUUUUAUGAAUUGUCUGUAAAAUCCGUACACCGUGAAAUCAUUCAUGAAGACUUCAAUGAUUUUCUCAACAUAAUCGGAAAAUAUGCUCACCAUGCAUUUCUGGAAAGUGGUCGGAGCAUUACAGAGUCCAAACGACAUUCGUCUAUACGUAAACAUUCUGGAAGGGCACGUGAAAGUUGUUUUGUCUUGAUCCUCUGCCUCCCUCAAUGUUUCGAGGAUUUCUUUUUCCUCUUUCGCUUUCUUAUCCUUUGCGAGCCUCUCUGGAAAAAGAGGUGGCAUCAAGAAUGGUUUCUGAAUUUCUGAUUCCGGUCUGACUUUUGGAUCAGAGAUCUGCUUUUCCCGUUCAUUGCCUUACCCAUAACUUUUGUCUGGAACUGUUUCCAGAAUCUUUGCGCUACAAAGAGUUAUUGCACUUACAUUCUGCCUAGGAUUCAGCUCUGUUUGGGAAGGUAAUUUACCUUGAGAUUCCAAACGAUUAACUGCCAUCGAGAGUUUACUAACUUGAUUAGUUAACUCUUAUAUUGAUGCGUCUGUCCUCUUUUGAUAUUUUGCAGCAUUGAAAGCAAGUCUUUCCACAAGAGCGUCUAGAGAUGUGCUUGACUUGGGUUGUUAUUGUGGUGGUUACAAAUGUCUCGGUUGGUAUGAUGGAUUAUAUCGGGGAUUAGCUCCGUAAUUCAAGUUGGGAUGAUCCUUCCACCCGGGAUUGUAAGUGUUGAAGAAAGGAUCAUAACGUCUUUGUGGAGGUUCUGAAAAACCUCCGAUAGCAUCAACAUGUGCCUUUGAAUUUUCGUUAAGGAUUGGGCACAAAUCUGUCGAAUGUUCAGAUAUAGUACAAAUUCCACACGGUUGGGUCCGAUUCUUCUUUUCUGUAAGCAUAGAUUGAACAAUAUUAGUAAGCUUAUCCAAUUUAUCUUCUAAGGAUGAAACGUUUACCCAAUUAACCCGUCUUGUGGGUUCUGAAUCCGGCCGAUACUGUUGAGAAUUUGUCGCCAUGGUGGAUAUUAGUUCUCUUGCCCUUUGAGGAGUCAUAUUGACAAGCGCCCCUCCACUAACAGCGUCAAUCAUCUUCAUUUCCAUAGGGAGCAAACCCUCGUAGAAAUAUUGAAAAAGUGAUUGCACGGUCAAACUGUGUUGAGGACAACUUGCACACAGUUUUUUAUACCGCUCCCAAUAGUCGUAGAGCGAUUUACUCUCCAUUUGGCGAAUUCCCACUAUGUCUCUCCUUAGUUCAGCUACUUGCGAUGUUGGGAAAAAUCUGUCAAGAAAAACACGAGAUAAGUCAUCCCACGUUGUAAUAGAACCAGGGGGUAAGUAAAAUAACCAUUCUUUUGCUGUAUCAACUAAAGAAAAAAGAAAGGCCCGAAGUUUAAUUUUAUCUUCGGUUACUCCCUGUGGUUUCAAGCUUGAGCAGACCAUGUGGAAUUCUCUCAAGUGAGUGUGUGGAUUUUCAUUCUUCAAGCCUUGAAAAGUGAGCAAAAGGUGAAUUAGGACUGACUUUAACUCGAACGAGGUUUUUCCGACUGGAUAGUUGAUGCAUAACGGUGUUUGCUCGUUGGGAGCAGUGGCUAGUUGACGAAUGGUUCGGUUCACCAUCCUUUCUAGUUCACCGAGGUUGUCUUCUGCUUCUUUUAUUUUAGGAAGUGAUUUGGUCUCAGGUUCAACCACUUCAACUUUUUUUCCACGUUGAAUUGCUUCUACACGUUUAAGAACUUCUGUCUCUUUACGUCGUGCUCGUGCUGAUUUUUUGAUCUCUGGGUCGUAUUCGAGAUCUCCGGAGGAAGAUCUGGUCAUGAAAAUAAUCUAAACAAUUGUAAGUGUUGCCAGUCCCCGGCAACGGUGCCAAAACUGAUGGGUUGUCGAAUCCACCAAUAUAAACCUACGCCUAACUUACAAAUUAAACAGUAUAGGGAGUAGGGUCUAUCCCUCAGAGACUGGGUUUACUGCAAAUUAUUCCUCUCUUGACCAGAUUUUUGUCGGGGCAGUUGUCGUGCCCAAGAAAUUCGGGGGGAUAAAAUUUGAAACCUGAAAUAAAUAAAUAAAAGCGUAAAAAGUAAAAGUUGAAGAUAGAAUAAUAAAAACAGUGAAAUAAAUAUGAAGAAAAAUUAAUUAGAAUAAGCUCAGCUUUAGGCAUGAAUUUUCCUCAUCUUUAAACCGAUCCUCGAAAUUGGAUGAACUCAUCUUUUCCAAUAAGCUAGUUAUAGCUACCAAGGACGCCUCAGACACCAACUCUUCCUUGUGUAAAUUAGUUAUGGAACGUCCAAUAACUAACCCUUACAGGUCGAAUAACCACAAAACGUUCGUGAUUUAGAACUCCGGUAGCUUUGCGUUCUAGAAGAGCCUAGCUCGAACCAAUGCCCUCAACCGCGUGGGACAUUUAAAUCCGGUUACUACUUCCCUUGAUGGAACCAAAUAGCAAUCUCCACUUGGCACACCAAUGUGUUCACAGAAAAACGAUUAGAAACGUUCCUUUCAGAAUUCCAACUGUACGUCUAAUCACACAAAAUCAAACGACAUCUUUUUUUGACUUAGUACUGAUCUGAUUUUGUGAGUUGACAAAAUCAUACUCUUAAUCCGGAGAAGUAAUAAGUACUGGAAUUUUAGGAGUUAAAUGGCUCGGGUUCGUAACUCACGGGUUUUGACAAGGCUAAUUUCGGCCUAAAGCUGAAAAUGGGUUUAGUUGGCUAAGGUUUGGGGCAUGUUGGUAUUGGAAUAAUUAAAUAAGAUUGAAUAAAUGAAAAAAAAUGAAAGUGAGUGGUGAAGGUUAUGCAAGGUUGGAAAUUAAUUGCUGACAAAAAACAGGAAAGAAAAGAUUGAAUUGCAAGAGAUAAAAGCUUAAUUUAAAAACGAAAUGAUUAAAAACUUGAUGGAAAAUUUUAUAAAAAGAUUUGAUGAAAAACUUUAAAAAGAACUUACUGCAAAACUUGAUAAAAAACUUGGUAAUUAAAAACUUGAUAAAAGAACUAGAUGAAAAAUACUUGAAGAAAGAAAAACACUUAAUGAAAGACUUAAUAGAAAGCUUGAUUCAUGAAUUGAUGAAUUGAAAAACAAUGUAGCCUCUAUUUAUACUAGUAGCUUUACUAAAUUAGGAGCCAACUAGUAUAGAAAAUCAAGGAAAAUAUUCUAUAAUAUAAAAAAUAUCCCAAAAUAAUCUCCCACUAAGUCAACAAUUUCAGAUAAUUGUUCUUGGAAAAAUUCUGCUUUGGCCCUCAUUCUUUGCUUCUUUCUUCAAUCUAGCCCAAUUGUUUCAUUUUUCUUCUAUUUAGCCCCAAAUUGCAUUCCUGCACAAAAUUCAAUAAAUAUGGCAAAAUUCGUGGUGCAUUCUCAUAAAUUAACCCAUUUAAUUACAUAAAAUAUGUAACUUUAGCAUUUAAUCAGCCUCUUACCAGAACAUCAAUGGAUGUUAGUGUAAAGAGAUGGAGCAUGAUACGCCCUGCUCAAGAUACUCCUAAAGAAAGGCAAUGGAUUUCAAAUCUGGACUUGGUGAUGCCAACAGACCAUGUCCCUUUACUGUUUUUCUACAAACCUAAUGGCUCAUCUGACUACUCCAAGCCUCAAGUGCUACAGGAGGCUUUAAGCAAGACUCUUGUGCAAUUCUAUCCUAUGGCUGGGAGGUUGGGACGUGAUGAAAAUGGUAGGCUCGAGAUAUUAUGCAACGCAGAGGGUGUUCUGUGGAUAGAAGCUGAAACUACAUCGGCUAUGGAUGAUCUCGACGAUUUUACUCCCUGCUCAAAACUGACGAAACUGGUUCCCAAGGCUGAUUACUUUGGAGAUAUCAGUUCUUAUCCGCUUAUUAUGGCUCAGGUAAGUGAAUGAAGGACUAUUAUCUUAUUAUAGAUGAUAACUGUUACUUGCAGUAGGAGACCAAGGAUAAGAUCUGAGAAAACUCAAACAGCCUGAUACUGAAGUUAAAGCACAAGAAAAACUAAGCUAUCAGCUAAGAAGUUGAUAUAUGGCCUUUUUUUCAAAAAUUGAGUUAAAAAGAAUCGAUUAAUUAUGAAAAUACCCAGGUAUAAAAUCUUAUACGAGAAUGACCCAUUUUCUACGGUAAAAAUUGGUACCGCGAGACUAAUUAGCGGUACCGAUAUUUUUGUAAAAAGUAUUACCAUCAACAAAGUAUCAAUACUUUCUAUUCAUCUUCACAAGAAAGUGCUAAUUACGGAGGUUCAUAGUGGUGGCUUAGUAGUGAAGAAGAUGAAACCAAAACCCUUUUCUCUUCAAUGAACCUUUGGUUUGACUCAUUUGUAAUAAUCAUUUUCGUUCGUCGAAUUUGACUGCAUUUUAAAUGGAAAACUAUAAUAAUCCUCACUGAAGAAAAGCUAAGAACAAGAUUAGUCAAAGCGAACAAGAUUAUUACAAAUGAGUCGGGCAAAAGGUUCAUUGAAGAGAAAAGGGUUUCGGUUUUCUCUUCUUCACUGCUAAGCCACCACCAUGGAACUUUUAGCACUUUCUCGUGAAGCUAAAUGAUACCAUCAACAAAGUAUUGAUCCUUUACCGAUGCCACCAAUGAGUCCAACAACAUUCAAAAUAAAUAUUUUUUUUUAAAAAAACAUGGGGUGGUGCCUUCAAUGGGAAUGGUGGCACCAAAUUUUAAGGUAGAAAAUGGGUCAUUCACGUACAAGAUUUUACACUUGAGUCAUUUUUAUAAUUAACCAAUUUUUUUGGUCAAUUUUGAAAAUAAAAAACUUUAAUACUUUUGUUUCAAAAAGGUCAAUUGUUGUGUGUUUAUUUUGCUAGGUAACUACUCUUAAAUACGGUGGAGUCUGUCUUGGAAUAGCAACUCAUCAUACUUUGACUGAUGGCACAACGGCCUUUCAUUUCAUCAGUAGUUGGUCUGAAAUGGCAAGAGGCUUGCCCCAAAUUAGUAUGCCACCACUUAUUGACCGAACCCUUCUCCGAGCAAGAGUGCCACCAAUCCCUAUAUUUCAUCAUCUCGAAUGUAACCCACCUCCUUUCUUAAACACCUCUACGUCACUAGGCCCUAAUAACCAUAAACCCUCAACUGUAUCUGUUUUCAAGAUCAUACAAAAUCAACUUAAUACCCUAAAAGCCAAGUCAUGGGAACAUGGAAACAAAACCAAUUGCAGCACCUACACCAUUCUAGCUGCAUACAUAUGACGCUGUGCAACUAAAGCUCGGGGCCUCUCAUAUGACCAAAAAACCAAGUUAGACAUGCCAAUUAAUGGACGUCCCAGACUACAUCCUCCCCUCUCAUCAACGUACGUGGGCAAUGCAACGUUUGCGGGUUCAUUAAUUACUCUAUCUAGAAAUCUCCAAUUAGAACCGUUUGUAAAUACCCUAGAACGAGUUCAUGAAACAUUGAAAAGGAUGAAUAAUGAGUAUCUAAGAUCAGCUCUUGACUACCUAGAAACACUGCCAGAUAUAACAGUUGCCAAGAGAAAACUGGACACUUACCAGUGCCCAAACCUAAAUAUCAACAAAUGGACACGACUGUCUAUAUAUGAUAUAGAUUUUGGAUGGGGUCGACCAAUAUACAUGGGUCCAGCAAAUGUUGUCCAUGAAGGAAAAAUAUACAUACUACCAAGUCCAACCGAUGAUGGGAGCUUGUCACUGGUAGCAUGCCUGCAAACUGCUCAUAUGAAACUCUUUGGGAAACAUCUAUACGAAGGCUUGAAGUCAUUUGACAAGAUCAAAGCUCGAUAUUAGUUGUUUGUUCUCUCUAUCAAUAUAUGUAUAAACCUAUAAAUCUUUUACUUCUGUUUCUGUAACUAAGACUUUUUGUUUGGAUCCUGUUUAUUUGAAAUUUACCAUCUGGCCUGGCGGAUAGGUCUUUUGGUAAUUAUUAUACUAUACUUCAAUAAUAGUAGUAGUAUUGAUCACAAAAAAAUAAUAAAGAAAAAUUAGAAUACACAGAUUUUACGUGAAAAAGUCUUAUUAGGAAAAAAAAUCAUGAACAGAGGAGAAAUUCACUAAUGUUUGAAAACAACAAUGCAAGAGGUUUUUUUGACUACACGUUUAAACGGUUAAAUAACAUUUUUAUAAUCAACGUCUAAUAGAAGAUCGCCCCCACAUAUCCCCCAAAUUUGCAAUUCUAUUUUAUUUUUUUAACAAAUAAGUUGCACCUUGAAGUUUUCUGACUGGAUCAAACGAGAUCAAACAACUCUGGCAACACCUCAAAUUAUUUGUCCAUAACCAUAUUAAAUCAAAUACCAAAUAAUUGAAAUAUAUUCAAAAUUUUAAAUUAAAUUAAGUUUGGAUCAAACUCACUGAUGAUAUAUGAUUUACCUAAAGUGAAAUAAGAACCUGAAAAUACCAAAUUUAUGGGUAAAUUUUCGUUUUGGUCACUUAAUUAAAAAAUUAUAAUUUGGUUAUUGAACUAUUCAAAAGUUUUCUUUUAAGUCAUUGGAUUGUUAAAAUUGAUGUUAUAUGACUCUCUGUUUGCAGUGCAUGCAUCAAUUGAAAGCUCUCUUUUUCCUUCACUUCUACAGUUCAUUUUCUAUUUUUAUGUAACAACUUUGGACGUCACAAAUCUGCAAACUAAAAUUCAAACAUUUUUUGCUUUGAUUUCCAACAUUGACCAUCAAAUCAAUUUAGAUCUAAGGUAUGUUUUUCUACACAUUAAUGGGUACCGAUCCAUCGUAUCUAUUGUUGAAUCCUUACAUGGAGCUCGUUAGUGGAACUUAAAAAACAACUUAACAGCCUAGUGAUUUAAAUGAAAAUUUUCGUAUUUAGUGACCAAACCAAAAACUUUCCCAUAAUUUAAUGACUAAUGGUGUAGUUUAUGCACUUCCUCUUGCCCCAAUUGAAGUUUUUGGUACUCCCAAACACUAGUAAAAAAGUUUUAAUAGUAUAAAUGUAUGAAAUUUUUAAUAGAAAGUACCAUUUUACUUUUUGAUCUAUAUAGAGAUACUGAUUUGUCAAUUUUUUAAAUAAAUGGGACAAAAUGCAAUUUGACAUCUAAUAUAAAAAUCUCCACGACGUGAUAAGUGCUUUCGAAACUGGAUUAGAUCAAAUCGAAAAUUAAUUAAUGUAUCAGUUUGAAAUAAGGGGAUUAAUUAUCUCACAAAUUGGUUAAAUCGACCAAUCAGACCACUGUUUUUCAAUUUUCAAUUUUGUAAUAAUUUAUUUAAUUAAAUUAAUCAAAUCAAUCAAAUCGGAAUUAGAAUCUAAUUCUAAACACUUUGCUUUGUUAUGUCAAAGCCACUUGUUUUUUUUACACCUGAUUUAGUCUACCAAUUACUGUCCACGCGUGUCAACUCUUUAUCAUCUUUUAAUGACGUGUACGGUAUAGAUAGCUUGUCUUCAAUUUUUUUAUUUGCCAAAUUCAGUUAUUAGUCCCUGUAUUAUAAGUAGUUUGAAAAUUUAAUCUCUAUAUUAAAAAAAUAGUCAAUUUCAGUCCUUAUAUUUUUUAGCAUUUAAAAUUUUAAUCCUCCACAAAGAGUAGUGUAACACCCCUUACCCGUAUCCAACACCGGAAUAGGGUACGAGGCAAUACCAGAACACAUACACUUGUAAACAUAUUUAACCGAGUUAUAAAAUUUCAUCUAAAUUAAAACUUUCAAAAUUAUUAACAUGCUUUUAUAACUCUUCACAAUAUAUCCUCAAAAUAUUAUAAUCUUAAUAAAUAGAGUCUACGAGACCCGAUACAUACUCAUACAAUUCAAUGCUUCAUUUCCAUUUCAUUCAAUUCGUAAUUUCUCAUGCUCACAAUUUAGAUCAUAUCACCAGCAAUUUCCAUUUAAUUCAUGUACAAUUCAAUGUCACUAAGUUUAACACUAAUACGUAUUUACCAUUUAACUCAACGUUUAUCGGUUAUACCAUUCAUUAACACAUUUAUGAAAUUCUCAAUUUUGCAAUGAAGAUAUCACUUUAGCUUAAAUAACAACAUCAUCCUGGUAUAAAUACACUACCACUUAUCCAUUUGCUUUAAUUCUUUUGGGCCCAUUUGUCACUUACCAUCCUUAAUCAAAUUAGGGAAUGGUUACAGAAAAUUGAGUACUUCACUUCCACUUUGCCAUAGUAUAACUGUGGUCUUACUUAUGAUCAGUUAUCACUUGUCCCUGAUCAGAUAAGUGUAGCUAGGCUACCACUUAUCACUUUGUCACUUGAUCAGAUAAGUGUAGCUAAAGCUACCACUUUUCACUUUGUCACCACUUAUCACUUGUUCCUGAUCAAAUAAGUGUAGCUAGGCUACCACUUAUCACUUUGUCACUUGAUUAGAUAAGCGUAGCGAAAGCUACCACUUAUCACUUUGUCACCAUUUAUCACUUGUUCCUGAUCAGAUAAGUGUAGUUAAAGCUACCACUUAUCAUUUUGUCACUUGAUCAGAUAAGUGUAGUUAAAGCUACCACUUAUCACUUUGUCACUUGAUCAGAUAAUUGUAGCUAGGCUAUCACUUAUCACUUUGUCACUUAAUCAGAAGUACUCAAACCCGGCGUUCCGCUCAAUUUGAUCAUUUAUUCAGUUUUCGCAUUUUUAUUUUAUUCUCAUUUCAUCAAUAAAUAUAUAUUUCAUCAUACAUUAUAUAAUUCAUGAAAUUAACAUUUAAUCAUUAAAUUUCAAUCAUAUGAACUUACCAGGCUAAUUUGCAGAAAUACCAAGAUACAAGGGCAUUUUGAUAAUUUUCCAUUUUCUCAAUUUUCUACCCGAUAUUGAUCUAAAUUAAUUUUUCAUUUAAUAAAACAACUCAUUUCAUGCAAUUUGGUCAUUUUUUACAUUUUUCCAAAAUUACCCCUAAAGUUUUACUUUUAUUCAAUUUAGUCCUCGAGCCCAAAUCAUGCAAAUUAACCAUUUUAAAUGCAAAUCCAUGCUAGCAUAAUAUUCAUAAAUUUAUUUUCCUCCUCCUCCUCUCCAUUCCACAUCCUUAAUUUACAAACAUGCUUAUAAGUAACAUUAUCUAUAAUUUCACUAUUUUCUUGUAAAUUUAUUCAAAGCUGUCCAUUUGAGUCAUAGUCGCUAAAUCAUUUAUAUCUUGAGCUACAGAAAUCCAAAUUAAGAUCCGUUAAUUUUUCCUGAAACUAGACUCACAUAUCUUCUUCCCAUAAAAUUUUCAGAAUUUUUGGUUCAGCCAAAUAGUACAGUUUAUUCUUUAAAGUUUCCCCUAUUUUGCUGUCUGACAGUUCUGACCACUCUACACUAAAAAUGAAUUAUCUAAUUGUACAGAAUUUGGAUGAUGUUUUAGUUUAUUUAAUUUGAAAAUAUAUUCAUUAAGGAUUCUAAUCAUAUAAAUUAUAACUCAUAAUUAUUUUUCUUCAAUUUUUGAUGAUUUUCCAAAGUCAGAACAGGGGAACCCGAAAUCAUUCUGACAUUGUCUCACAAAAUUUAUUAUAUCGCAUGAUUUACAAUUAUAUUGCUUACACCAUUUCUUCUAUGAGAAACUAGGCUCAAUAAGCUUUAAUUUCAUAUUUUAUUUAUCUUCUAAUUAAAUUCCCACAAUUUUUGGUGAUUUUUCAAAGUUAACCUACUGCUGCUGUCCAAACUGUUUUAGUGCAAAAUAUCGAUUAUUAAGUUUAUAACACUCUUAUUUUCUUUCUCUACACUAUUUCUCUCUUCACUAACAUACCAAGAACAUAAAAUCUUAUAUAAUAAAACUCUACAUUAACAUCAAUUUCAUACCUUUUCAAUAAUAUCAAACUAAAAAAUAUAUUGAAAUCUUGAUGUUCUUACCUUGCUUAAUUGAUUUCAAUCUUUAACUUGAUAUUCUCUCUCCUCCAGCUUCUAUUUCUUGAAUCUAACUUGAUAUUCUAGCUCCCCAUAGUCUCCUUGUUAUCUUUCUCUCUUGAUGGAUAUGGAAAUUCUUUUGAUUUCUAAGUGAAAAUGGUAAAUUUUUGGUAAAAGGACUAAAUUAUAAAGAAAAGAAAGUUUCUUUCUUUCUUUCCUCUUCAUACGUUGGUUGCAUGGGGAAGAAGAUGAUAAUUCCUCAUGUUUCCUUUUAUAUAUAUACUAAAUAGAAUAAUAAUAAAUUAAUAAAAUAUCAUUUAAAAAUCAUAUUAAAAUAUUAAUAAACUAAUAUUUAUUUAAUUAAUUAAUCUAAAAUAUCACCAACAUCAUCAUUGCCUUCUAGAUUUCUCUCUCUUCUAAUUGGCCAUUUUUCCCUUCAUAAUCUUUUAAAAUUCCAUCAUUGAGUCACACUUAAUUUGGUAAAAUUACGAUUUAGUCCCUCAUAAUUCUUAUUUUAUUCAAUUUGGUCCUAAUUCAUCCAUUUUCCUUAGUUUCUAGAUCAUUCCACCCUUAAAAUAUUUACAUCUUUGGUCCUUCAACUUUUUCAUAUUUACACUUUAACCCCUCAAAUUUUGAGUAUUUACUCUUGGGCAACAAUACUUUUCUCACUUUUGCGAUUUAAUCCUUCCUUGCAUUAAUAUGUCAUAAUAUACUUCUCAAUGUUGACAUAUCUCAAAAUUUCCCUUUUUUUUUUUUUACUUUAUUUCCUUAUUUUACUUUACCAAGAAUAAUAUCUUACUGUAGAAAUUUUCAAAAUAUUACAUUUGUGGUCCCGAAACCACUAUUUCGACUAGGCCCAAAUUCGGGCUAUUACAAGUAGUAAUUAAAUAUGUUUGUUAAUUUAUGUCGUUAAUCUUUUACACAGUAUAAAGUUAUUCCACGUUCUUUAAUUUGAUCAUUCAUAAUCCUUAUAUUUUUUGAAUUUUUAAAUUUUAAUAAGCUGACAUAAUAUUACAUAUAUGAUAAUAUUUUUGACGUAUAAGAUUUUGAAAAUAAUAAAACUUAAUGAAUUUAAUGGUUAUCGUUUAGAUCAAGAUUGGAAUUUCAAAAUUAGAAAAAUAUACGGACUAAAAUGAUUAAAUUAAAGUACAUAGACUAAAUUUACAACUUUCCCAUUGCAUAAGUACUAAUAGCAGGAUUUAACCUAUUUUUACAUUUAAAUAUGUAAAAAUAUCACCCAUCCACUACCUCCCAACAGAGAAGAUAAGCUUUUUUUUAGCAAUAAAAGAAAUAAUAAUUACCUGAUAAAUUAUUUUAUGGACAUUUUUCACCAUAUCUUCCAUGAUCCCGUCCAAUUAGAAGAUGCCACAUCAUCUUUUUUUCCACAUCAUAUGUACAUUCAGACUAAACUUCCAAAUCAAAGAUGACGUGUCUUGUUUUAAUUGGUAGAAACUAUGGAUGGUCGGGUGGAAAAUGUCCAUAAAAUAAUUUCUCAUUAUUACCUUGUCUUCGAACACAAAAACACAAACAUUAGCAAACAGAUUUUGCCCAUCCGCUACCUCCCAAUAGACAAGAUAGGUUAUUUUUAAUUAACUCAAUUUUUUUGAUUAAUUACGAAAAUAAUCAACUUAAAAAUUACGUACGUAAAUGAUUGAUUUUUACAGUGCUUGUCGAUGCUGCCAGACACAUCGGCAGCACCGGUCUCAUCAUCGACCAAUAAUUGUAUUAUUUUAAACAUUUUCAGUUCAUUCCCUAGCAUAUUUAAAUUUAUAUAAAUUGAGAUAAUUUUUUGAAGGAUAUAUUUGGGUAAUUUAAAUAAGACUUUUAACUUUAUUGUUUCUAAAAAAAUAAAAAGAAUUUAUUUUUGUUAUUCUUAUAUUUUUAAGGGCUAUUUAAAUAUAAUUUUAAAAAUAGAUAUACUUAACACGCAAAUAAAUAAAAAAUUGAAAAGCAUCAAAUUUGGUGCCGACAUGGUGCACUAAAAAGUUAUUAUUUUCUGGGUAAAUUACAGCAAUAGUCACUUUUAUUUACCUCAUAUUAUAUUUUAGUUAUUUAUAUUUAAAAUAUUACAUUUUAGUCACUUACAUUAUUAUUUUGUUAUUAAGUGGUCACUCCACCGUCAAACUUCGUUACUUCUCUAACGGUAGUCCUACGUGACAGUACAAAUUGAUUUUAAAUGCCAACUGGCAACUACGAUGUCCAAUUGUUGGGACAAAAAAAGGUUUUUAAUUAAAUAAAUUUAAUUUGAACUGCCACGUAGGACCGUCAUUAGGGAGGUAAGAGAGUUUAAUGAUAAAGUGACCAAUUCGUAAUAAAACGAUAAUAUAAGUGACUAAGACAUAAUAUUUUAAACUUAGGUGAAUAAAAUAUAAUCUGAAGCAAAUAAAAAUGACUGAUUUAUAGUUUACCCAUAAUGUAGUUAUUGGCGGAUGACCCGGCCGCACCAACAAACAGCAGAAAUAGAGUCAUUUUCGUAAUUAUUCACAAAAUUUGGGUUACUUUUGUAAAAAAAACCCGAGAAGAGAACCUCGCCCUUGCUUAAGAUAGACGGACACUUUCUGACUUUCCCUUCUGUCAGUUUUUCAUCAACAGCUUUGCCUCUUACCAAAACAUCAAUGGAUGUUAGUGUAAAGAGAUGGAGCAUGAUACGCCCUGCUCAAGAUACUCCUAAAGAAAGGCAAUGGAUUUCAAAUCUGGACUUGGUGAUGCCAACAGACCAUGUCCCUUUACUGUUUUUCUACAAACCUAAUGGCUCCUCUGACUUCUUCAAGCCUCAAGUGCUACAGGAGGCUUUAAGCAAGACUCUUGUGCAAUUCUAUCCUAUGGCUGGGAGGUUGGGACGUGAUGAAAAUGGUAGGCUCGAGAUAUUAUGCAACGCAGAGGGUGUUCUGUGGAUAGAAGCUGAAACUACAUCGGCCAUGGAUGAUCUCGACGGUUUUACUCCCUGCUCAAAACUGAGGAAACUGGUUCCCACGGCUGAUUACUCUGGAGAUAUCAGUUCUUAUCCGCUUAUUAUGGCUCAGGUAAGUGAAAGAAGAACUAUUAUCUUAUUAUAGAUGAUAAGUGUUACUUGCAGUAGGAGACCAAGGAUAAGCUCUGAGAAAACUCAAACAGCCUGAUACUGAAGUUAAAGCACAAGAAAAACUAAGCUAUCAGCUAAGAAGUUGAUAUAUGGCCUUUUUUUUUUUUCUUUCAAAACUUGACUUAAAAAGAAUCGAUUAAUUAUGAAAAUACCCAGGUAUAAGAUCUUAUACGAGGAUGACCCGUUUUCUACGGUAAAAAUUGGUACCGCUAGACUAAUUAGCGGUACCGAUAUUUUUGUAAAAAGUAUUACCAUCAACAAAGUAUCGAUACUUUCCAUUCAUCUUCACAAGAAAGUGCUAAUUACGGAGGUCCAUGGUGGUGGCUUAGUAGCGAGGAAGAUGAAACCAAAACCCUUUCUUUUCAAUGAACCUUUGGUUUGACUCAUUUGUAAUAAUCAUUUUCGUUCGUCGAAUUUGACUGCAUUUUAAAUGGAAAACUGUAAUAAUCCUCACUGAAGAAAAGCUAAGAACAAGAUUAGUCAAAGCGAACAAGGUUAUUACAAAUGAGUCGGGCAAGAGGUUCAUUGAAGAGAAAAGGGUUUCGGUUUUAUCUUCUUUACUGCUAGGCCACCACCAUGGAACUUUUAGCACUUUCUCGUGAAGCUAAAUGAUACCAUCCACAAAGUAUUGAUCCUUUAUCGAUGCCACCAAUGAGUCCAACAACAUUCAAAAUAAAUAUUUUUUAAAAAAAACAUAGGGUGGUGCCUUCAAUGGGAAUGGUGGCACCAAAUUUUAAGGUAGAAAAUGGGUCAUUCUCGUACAAGAUUUUACACUUGAGUCAUUUUUAUAAUUAACCAAUUUUUUUGGUCAAUUUUGAAAAUAAAAAACUUUAAUAUUUUUGUUUCAAAAAGGUCAAUUGUUGUGUGUAUAUUUUGCUAGGUAACUACUCUUAAAUGCGGUGGAGUCUGUCUUGGAAUAGCAACUCAUCAUACUUUGACUGAUGGCACAACGGCCUUUCAUUUCAUCAGUAGUUGGUCUGAAAUGGCAAGAGGCUUGCCCCAAAUUAGCAUGCCACCACUUAUUGACCGAACCCUUCUCCGAGCAAGAGUGCCACCAAUCCCUAGAUUUCAUCAUCUCGAAUGUGACCCACCUCCUUCCUUAAACACCUCUACGUCACUUGGCCCUAAUAACCAUAAACCCUCAACUGUAUCUGUUUUCAAGAUCACACAAAAUCAACUUAAUACCCUAAAAGCCAAGUCAUGGGAACAUGGAAACAAAACCAAUUACAGCACCAACACCAUUCUAGCUGCAUACAUAUGGCGCUGUGCAACUAAAGCUCGGGGCCUCUCAUAUGACCAACCAACCAAGUUAGACAUGCCAAUUAAUGGACGUCCCAGACUAAAUCCUCCCCUCCCAUCAACGUACGUGGGCAAUGCAACGUUUGCGGGUUCAUUAAUUACUCUAUCUGGAAAUCUCCAAUCAGAACUGUUUGUAAAUACCCUAGAACAAGUUCAUGGAACAUUGAAAAGGAUUAAUAAUGAGUAUCUAAGAUCAACUCUUGACUACCUAGAAACACUGCCAGAUAUAACAGUUGCCAAGAGAAAACCAGACACUUACUAGUGCCCAAACCUAAGUAUCAACAAAUGGACACGACUGUCUAUAUAUGAUAUAGAUUUUGGAUGGGGUCGACCAAUAUACAUGGGUCCAGCAAACGUUGUCCAUGAAGGAAAAAUAUACAUACUACCAAGUCCAAC